CCAGUCUCGCAGCAUCAGCAUCACUUGGGAAUGUGCUGGAAAUGCAAAUUCUUGGGCCCCAUCUCAGACCUACUCAAUCAGAACCUCUGCAAUCUUCAGUCUAACAGGUCAUCCCCCGUGGAUGAUUCUGCUGCAUUUUCAACCUUGAGAAGCACUGAAUUAGAUCUUGGCUUCUCAGACUGUACUGCGCACACGAAUCUCCUGGGAAUCCCGUUAAAGUGCAGAUUCUGUUUCCGCAAGUCCAGGGUAUGGCAUGAAAUUGUACGUUUUCCACAAGCUCCCAGAUGCUGGUCCCAGGACCACCCUUUGAGCAGCAGGGAACUGCAUGAUCUUUCCCUCCAGUCAGAAGACUAUUGAGUUGUCUGCGGGUUUUAUUCUUCACGUGCAGAUGGGGCGCAGAGAAAGAAGCAGAGUCCAUUCCUGAAUUUAAGUGCAGAGCUGGCUCAAACCAGGAAGCUUUGAAUUUAAUCUAAAAAUUCUAGGAUAAGCAAUAAUACAGCAAAACACCAAAAGACAAGAUGGGCAGUUGCUUCAAAUAGAAAAUUCUAUUGGGUUCAGCCUGAUCUCAGAGAAUGGAGAUAUUUCUCCUGCAAAGACCCGGUUUCCUGGGAUUCAUAGCUUUGUUCCAUCUUUUCUCUGGGAAGUCCAUCUUCUCUAUGAAAUAGUACCUCCAGCCAGCCCAUGUACUCUACUGAAAUAAUCCCUGGGCCCCAAAGAACAUGCAGUGUCCUUGAGCUCCAAGUUCAGGCUCAUUACUCUCAUCGGUACAGAGGAGUAACAGUCAAACUCCCAGUGAUUCCCAGGUCUGCUGGCGAAGACGCUGGGCUUGGUGUCACCUGUUUGACUUGUUCUCACCUCCACCACAUGAACUCAACAUCGCCAGAAUUGGCGUGAUAUUUUCUCCCAAAAAGGCCUUUCUCCAUCACAGGGAUAAGGGCGCCUUAUUCUAUCCACCUCAGCUGAGGCUGUAAUCUUUUCCCAGCCAAUAUUGGAUUUUCCUUCUGAACUCGCCGUGUCUCUAAAAACUGUUUCCUUUGCGACCCCAAGCCCCGAACUUCGCAAAACCAGAUGCAUCAAAAAAUAAAAACCUGCUUUUACCGUGACCUCCCUCUUUUGGACGUUAAUCACUCCUUACCUCGAUUUGCUCUUUGCUCUUGGAUGCCCACGGCCUUGUGUCUGCGGACAGUUCUGGGAGAUCACAGGGAAAGAAGAAAUCCUUCAUCUUUGGGUAGAUUUUCUGUGGGAAAACAUGGCUAGUCCAGCGUGCUAGCCUGCUGGGGAGCGCAGCAGCCGUGAGCAGCUAGUAGGCAACACUGCCAACAGCUGGGGAGGAAAUGCCCCAUUCCUGAAGGGGGAUCUGAGAGGCGCUUGCCCUGCACCUGGAGGAGGGUCUCCUCGUGUGGAGCUGAUCACUCACCUCCGUAUCGCUCCUUUGCGUCUCUUUGUGUGAACUUCUUUAGAACACACCAUGAGGCUAGGAUGUAUCCUCUUUAGUUUUGAGUCCAUACACGUCCGCACCCGGGAUCCGGGCCGGUGAACCCCGGGACGCCGUGAAGCGGAACGUGGGCACUUAACUGCUGCGCCACCGGCGGGCCCCUGUUUCAUUUCUAAGAUGUAAAAUUUAAAGCAUUCAAAGCUUGUAUGUUAUUUCAAGAAAUAUUUUAAAACCGUACCAUUAAUCUUGAUUAAUUUUUAUCAUUUGUUCUCCGUCUAGAACGGCCCUGUCCAAGAGAACUUGUGGCUGUGGUGAAAAUGUUCUAAUAUACACUGUCCAGUGUGGGCUUUGAUCUGCUGUGAUUUGGGACCGAUUGGGAAUUGCUGUGGCCCAGUUCGGUUCUCUCUGGUCUCUAGUUUGGGCUGGGGUUUGCUUAUAGUAUUUGAAUUGGAGCAAAAUAAAUCAGAUGGCAUUCUCCCCUCCAUUCUAUCUUACUUUCUGGCUCAAGGACAUUUUAAUUCAUUUAAUCUUUAUUUUUAUUUCCAUUUCCAGAGUUCAUAAAUUUGAUCCUAGAACUGUUCAGCUAUUAAAAGAAAAUCUUUCCUUCCUUUCAAGAUGCAUUCUAACAAGAUUGUCCGGUUGAUUGGAAUAUUCUUUCCAUGAGAAAAUAAUAAUAAUGAGGAAAGGAUGUUGCAACCAGCAAAUUGUCUCCAAUAUUCAAAAAGCAGAUUUAAAACUGCAAAUGUUUGAGUUCUUUAUAAAUUUUUAACAACUUAUUCUAGUCUUGGCAAUGAGUAUUAUAAUAAUGUUAAUAUUGAAAAAAACUUUUGUUUGCAUCAGAGAAAUGUUUGCAAAAAUUCACACCAGUUCAGCAAUUUAUGCAACAACAGGGUUUUUCUGUGUCCUACUUCCACUUGUUAUGAUAUUUCCAGCUAUAUAAUCUUUACCUAGAGAAAGAGGAAUAAUGCUGUGAAUUGAAUAUGUCAAACGUCUUUCUCUUGAUGUGAACACUUAAAAAAAAAUUCUUUCCAGGAGGCAUCCUUGGUAGUCCCUGAAUUAGGUUAUUGAAAGUUGGUGGUUUUUUAAUCAGCUGUAAUGCUCUGUAUUUAACUAUAACCUACAGCCUUAUUCCCAUCAUCUCAAUGCCAGCAACUCUGAUAAUGAGGACAGUGGGUCUCAUCAAGGUGCCAAACCCUGGUAGCUGCUAUAAGAAGAGCAGAGGAGCGACCGGUCCUCAGUCAAGAAGCCUCCGACUUCACCAUAUGAAUUAAACAGAGCAGCAUGGGAAUUUCAACAUUCAUCUAUUCCUUGUGUAACAGAAGCAAAAACGUCACACCUCAUUUGAAAUCUCCCCACGUUGUCUCUCAGCCAUUUGGAAUCCGUGGGCUAAUUCUGCUUCUAUCAGGGUGUGAGUGACGUGGAUGAGCUCCAUAGAUGACCACCAAGUGCA
ensembl:lncRNA